UGGGGAAUUGUUCGCGAUGGGCGCAAGCCUGACGACGCAACGCCGCGUGGAGGAUGAAGGUCUUCGGAUUGUAAACUCCUGUUGCCCGGGACGAAUGGCUUCAACCUAAUACGUUGAGGUGUGACGGUACCGGGUGAGGAAGCCCCGGCUAACUCUGUGCCAGCAGCCGCGGUAAUACAGAGGGGGCAAGCGUUGUUCGGAAUUACUGGGCGUAAAGGGCGCGUAGGCGGCCUGCUAAGUCGAACGUGAAAUCCCUGGGCUCAACCCAGGAACUGCGUCCGAUACUGGUUGGCUUGAAUCCGGGAGAGGGAUGUGGAAUUCCAGGUGUAGCGGUGAAAUGCGUAGAUAUCUGGAGGAACACCGGUGGCGAAGGCGACAUCCUGGACCGGUAUUGACGCUGAGGCGCGAAAGCCAGGGGAGCAA
rnacentral:rRNA from 1 species